rnacentral:rRNA from 1 species
GAUGAACGCUAGCUACAGGCUUAACACAUGCAAGUCGAGGGGAAACGGCAUUGAGUGCUUGCACUCUUUGGACGUCGACCGGCGCACGGGUGAGUAACGCGUAUCCAACCUUCCCAUUACUGUGGGAUAACCUGCUGAAAGGCAGACUAAUACCGCAUAGUCUUCGAUGACGGCAUCAGAUUUGAAGUAAAGAUUUAUCGGUAAUGGAUGGGGAUGCGUCUGAUUAGCUUGUUGGCGGGGUAACGGCCCACCAAGGCGACGAUCAGUAGGGGUUCUGAGAGGAAGGUCCCCCACAUUGGAACUGAGACACGGUCCAAACUCCUACGGGAGGCAGCAGUGAGGAAUAUUGGUCAAUGGACGGAAGUCUGAACCAGCCAAGUAGCGUGCAGGAUGACGGCCCUAUGGGUUGUAAACUGCUUUUGUAUGGGGAUAAAGUUAGGGACGUGUCCCUAUUUGCAGGUACCAUACGAAUAAGGACCGGCUAAUUCCGUG